GAUUCGAAACAAUCGCGGAGCGAGGUCCCGCGCGCGACCUCGCUCUCGCCUCGGUUUCAUAAGUGCAAUGCGGAUAACGAUGUUAUUAUUCCACCCCGUUUCUUAUCGAGUAGGUCAUCAUCGUCAUCGCUCGUCGUCGUAGUUCCGUUUCUCUCUCUCUCUCUCUCUCUCUCUCUCUCUCUCUCUCUCUCUCUCGGCGGCGCUCGUGCUCCAUUCAUGUCACUCUCCUGCACUCUCCGUCUCGUUUCACCCUCGUCGUCGCGCUGAUAUUACGCACCGGGAAUUUCAACGGACGCUUCAAUUUCCAUUGAAUCGAAUUUCUUUCACGGGCAGCAACAACGCAGAGAGAUCCGCAUAGUGCGCACGACGAAUGCACCGGACGAAACGCGAGAUCCCCGUAUUACUCGCCGUACUACGUGCGUAUCGUGUGUGCAUGUGCAACCGAGAGAGAAAGAGAGAGAGAGAGACAGACGUUUGCCAAUCGCAGUUGUUUCAAUUAUCGUUCCCGUUCUUUGGCCUCGCGCGACGACGGCACUCCGCUUCGAUCUGCGCACUAGGAAUGCGAGACUCUUGCCGCGCGGCGUACCACGCGUGCUAAUGAAAUACGAUGUAAACAGGCGCGAUGCAACAAUUGCGUCUCGAUCUACCGUUAUGAAUGUUCAUCGAGAUGAAUAGCGCGGCCGCAUGAAAUUUCCCACAACCGCUAGUUAAAAUUUCAAUGAGCGGCUCUCCUUCGAGCGCUUCUUCUUCUUCUCUCUCUCUCAGCGGGAACUUUACGGCGGCGUCGUUCGCAACGUUUCAAUUUUCAAACGCCUCACGGCGAUUAAGUCUCGGCCCCGUUAGAAUUAUACGAGCGGCGACGAGAUUUUCUUGAAACGGCGAGCGACGGUAUCGGGCAUUAAAGUUUGCGAUAAUCCAACAAGAUUGAAUGCCCGGACGUGAAGACGUGACGAGGACAACGAUUCAUCUUGGGCGCGCAAUAGCGCGCGCGCGCGUUCUUUCCUGCUGCACUAAUCCGCGCGCGAUUGCCGGUCGUCUUAUGCAAGUCGCGUUUACCGCCGAUAGUCGACUUACACCUUGACCCGCUUCCAGACGGACUUAAACCAGACACCCGGUACAUACGUGCGUCACGGGCUUAAGCCUAAUGAGCGUUUUGCACUUUCACGAGGCACCGUUUCGCAACAGUGACAUUUCCGCUGGACCUAACAAAUGCCAAUUAAACGUUUUGCUUACCAGACACGCAGCGACUGUCGCAAAACCGCCGUCGGCGGUGCCCCGCCGGGUGUCGCCUCCGAUUAAAUUUAUAGCGCGGCUUAGUCUUCGAGACAUUCGUAAAUUUCGGAGAUUGUCGCGACGAUCGACCGACACGGCGAUGUGUCUAAUUGCGACGCAUAAAAUACGCGGCGAGGAUUCGCUCGGGGUAUUAACGUGAAAUUAUUGUCAAUUUGCAUUGUUAAUGUUCCGCAACGAGGGAAACAGAUAAAAUUGCGAUAUUUAUUGCGGAUCUUAAAAAAGAAUUGCGCGGAAUCGCCAACGUACGAUUACGAUCGGUCAAUAUGAAUAUACGAGAUGAAAUAUGAACGGGAGAAAAACCGCGGAAGAAACCACGAAGUUGGAUAAAGCGCGAAGCGCGCAGCUGCUCGUCUCUCGUUUUAUUCUCUCUCUCUCUCUCUCUCUCUCUCUCUCUCUCUCUCUCGCCUCGAGCGGAAAAAAACGGGCCCGCGUGUCACGAUCGGCCCGCUCAGAGCAGGCAGACACUUUUCUCGACUCUUAAUUGCCGCGUGCGAUCACGAUAUUUGUCGUCUGCCUACGCACGCCGCGAUCUCGGCGAGUUCGGAGCACCGGGUCUCGUAUGUCUCCCCGUCGGUGAAAUGGAAACAGGGCCGUAGGUGUCUGGUUUCCACUGGUGUCGGCGACACAAACCUCAUUAAUCUCCCGUCCCACCAUUUGCAGGCCGCGCCGCGCCGCCCGGACGACAAAUGCACCUCGCGCGUCGCGGCCCCAGGGCCACUCGUUGUCGCCGUCGUCGUCGUCGUCGUCGUCGUACGCAUGCAGAUCGUCCUCCCUCUCUCCCCACCGCGAAGCGUAAAAGGCGCGAUCUCGCGCGACAAAAACCCGCGUCCCGUUUCGUUUCGUCUCCUCUCCUCUCCCGCCCUUCUCGGGUUCCAUUCCGUCGUCGUGUCGCGUGUCGUCUCGGCUCGUCCCGGCGACGCGAUAGAAAUAGUUACCGACGACAUCCGUAAAACGAUUUAAGUGCUAUUCUCAUCGCCUUCCUCUUCUCUUCCUCGAUCCGACGUUCCUUCCGUUGCUGCAAUCGCAUCUGCGCCGCGGCGGCGGCGGCGACGGCGACGACGGCGACGAUGGUAUUCAGACGCUCGUCCAUCGUGAUAGUUUUAUUCGCGAACGCGGCUUGAAUAUCACGAGUUAUUUCUCUCUCUCUCUCUCUCUCUCUCUCUCUCUCUCUGUCUCUCCCGGGCACGUUAUACCGUUACACGUGAAUCUAUGCACUAUCUUUCCAGCGCGGGCUUUUCACUGUUAUUCUCGUGCCUUAUAAUACCAUAGUUUCCGGUGAAACAAGUACUUUCCACGUAAUGUCUGAAUGGAUACGGCAAAUGUAGUCGCAGAUAAGCAGAGGAAUUUAGUACUCCGGAGAAAUUUAGUACUCCAACGUCGCAUAAAAUGUUAAGCAGCGUAAAAAAAAAAAGGAUAUGCGAAAAUAAUUAAUAUCCGCGACGCACGUAAAACAAGCUGACAGAGGGAAUUUAUUAGGCGUAAAUAUUAAUAAGCCCGAAUGAAUAUGCAAUAAAUGCCUUAUAUAAGUACAACAUAAUGUUAACGAAAUGUUCCGGUAAUGUUGCCUUUACGGCUCUUUGGUAUAAUAAGUCAUUAUACCAUUUUCUGUCAUUUUCUGCCGAUUAUCGGCUAGCCGCGGCGGUAAACGGGGUACAACGCGGAAAAUGAUUGCUCUGGAUUUUAACGAUCGCUUCUCGCUUUCCUCGCGAGGCGGCCUUGUUUUAUCGGAACGAAAUGGGAUAAUUACCUCCCGAUGAUUGGAAAAUUAUUCAUUCGCCGCGAUGUCCGUCGUGAGCAGAGCCGACUAUUACUACUCUUGGCGCCACGACGCGGUAGUUAUUACUCUCGAGCGGUAACGGCCAAUAACGGCAGCGUCGUGGCGCCAGGCGUUUGACGUUAUUCCGCGGCGCAGGGUGUUCAGGGAACGGGGAAUGUGUUCGCGAAACGGUCUCGAUACGUCGGCGGGUUCGUUACUCACGUCGGAAAGGAUCGUAAUCCGAGCUGGACCCGCGUAACGUCGGCGAUUUUAGAGAAAGAUCGUCAAUACCGGCCAAUAGGCCUUCCCAACCGUAACUCCUUUAUUUCUCGGAAACACUGAUUUCCAAAUCGUUUACGUCGGCAACCGAAGACUAGUGGAGAAAGAUCACCAUCGAUACUGGCGUACCACUUUGUUUGUGCAAAUUAUUAUUUUUGCAACAUAAGGAAUGAACGUCCAAAUAGUUGGCCGCCACUUUCAUGUUUAAACAAGUUUAUGAAGUGAAAAUACUAGAAUUGAACAUUUCAAAUAUAUAUUUAUAUAUGUAGAAAUAUAUUUAAUUAUAAAAUUGUUUUAAUUCAUCAAUUUAUUUUAUAGUCGACUCUUUCAUUACGGAGGCCGUGUCUGAAUUCUACUAUGCUAAUUUUGGAACCAAAUUUUUCAGUUUUAUUUAUGUUACGAAAACAUAAUUUAAAUAAAAUUAAAAUAUAAAACAGCAUUAUAAAAACCACCGCGUGCAAUCUAAUAGAAGACAUUUUCUAAUUUGCAUUCAUGUUUUCAAAUUUUUAUUUUUAGCCAAUAUUAUGGUGACCUUCCUGUGCUAAUUUUCAAUGGCCGGCGUAAACGAAUCGGAAAUCAGUGUUCCCGCUAAUUGCGCUGGGAUUUACGCCCGUCGAUAAAAAGCCGAACGAUAACGAGCGGAACGCACGCAUCCCACUGACUCUCUGCCGCCGCGCAUUUUAUUACGUUAUAGACAGUCGGCAUAAUAUUCGUGUUCCCGGUUCCCUCCUCGCAUUUCUUUUUCAUUCAGCGCCACGUGGUACCAUUUUCACGGAUGGCUCCCCCGAAUUUGCAUUUAUCACGUGUCACGGAAGUCACGCAUCGUUAAUACGUACGCACUUGUCGUGCGCUCUUUCUCAUUCUCCUUUUCUCCCGACGCUCGCACGGCACUCGCGCGAUAAGGGCCUCGGUAUAUUUAUUAUCAACGGAGGACCGUCGAGGCGAAUCGUCGACCGAAAGGGCGAAGCGUCGACAUAAAUCUAGCGGCACGCGAGGAAAAAGAGAGAGAGAGAGCAAGCGGAAGAGAGAGAAAAGAAAGAGGGAAGGAAGAGGAGGAUACCGUUCUUUCUUCUUGAGGAAGAGAGGGCCACCCACCUACCUCUCGACGAACACGCAAAGUCAUUUAUUUUUCGCGGUCACUCCCGCUCUCCCACAGUCUCUUACGUCACCUUCUGUACGCCGGCCCGGAUAAACCGACAACGACGACGACGACGACGACGACGACGACGACGACAGUCUGUACAGAAGGAGAAGUUUAAUCCCGUCAUAACAAAUAAAUUACCAGACCAAGAGAGUAAAUCGGGGCGGACGUUAUCGUGGCCUGCAUAUGUAUCGUUUGAAAAUUGCAGCGCCAAAGUUUUCCGGUCACGAUGCCGGUGUUGACGUGACUUCGGCCUCGCUCAUUAAUUACGCGGUUGCCAUUUCGUCCCUCGUAUUUCUUAUACAGAUGCACGCGUAAGAUUCGGUCGAGCGGAUAGCUAGCGCGGCUCAUCUCUAAUAGGAUCGUGAACCGUUUCAAUCGCUAGAACCGAUCAUCAAACGUCAAUAAAGAGAUGCCGUUCAUUAGACUUCGCUGCACGAAAUUGGUCCCGGUUAUCCGGACUAUUCAGAUCAGUUUUGGAUGGCUUAAUUAACUUAGAGAUCAAGAGGCGCAAAAUCGGGACAGUGAUCCUAGUUAAAAAUUAUUAUAUCUUUAUCUAUAUAUAACUAUUGAUCUUCAUAUAAGAUUAUUUUUUUCGUGCACUAAGAUAAAGAUACUUAAACGUUCAUUUGUGAAAUGUAAAUAUUCAAUUUACUGAAAUAGAUCUUUAUUUAAAUACGGCCAAAUAAAAUUUUAAUAAAUAUCACGCAAAAGUAACAUUUGCUUUUGAGUAUUUCGAAUUUUUCUUCUCGGUGUACAAAUAUAUUUUAGAAUUUAGAUACUAUGAUAAUAAAAUUGAGAUUUAGUUGUAUUAAAAGUUUGAGACUUCUCUCAAUAGUAAAUUAGCAAUAGUAGAUAACAAAUAUUUUUCGUGUCCUUUAAGAUUACAUUUAUAAUCAGAGGAAGAGGAUUGAGAAGCAAGCUACAGCUUUGUCUCAGUAUCGAGCUAUCGCUUGCUAACGUCAUCGCCGAAUUAAGCUCCGAUUUCGGGAGGUGUCGUGGCGCCAGAGAGCAGAUACCGAGCGGUCAAAGGCAGAUAGAUAGUGCUAGUGCCAGGACGUGCUAGGCAGAGCUAAGCGCCGCCGAUGUACCGCGGAGAGCCUCCGCGAGACGAGCUAAUAAAUUAAGUGCUUGAGUGGCGUCCUAAUGAUGAAAUCACGAGAAACAUAACAACAUCCUCCAAGGGGCCCCCCGAGUCUUCCCGACCCCGAAUACCGAAUCAUCCGGCGGACAACCGAGGCCUGACUCAACGACGGAUCCGGCACGCGAGAUCUAAACCACGACGUAUUUCAUCCGCGACUUUACAUUCGACUUAGAGGCGGAAGUAUUAGCGCACGAAAUCCCGAUUUGCGAUCAUGAUAUAUGCGCGCUGGUUCCACACGCCAUUGUACACAACCAUGCGUAAACGGCGAUAAUAAUGCAUACUAAUGUAAGCCACUUUUAUGUGUAAUAAAUUCAGACAAUACGUAGUA